UACAAGAAAACAACGCACGCGCGCGCAGACGCAGAUCGCCCCCUUCUCUUCCUUUGCCUUCAUGUGGAGGUGCUGGAAACGCUCUCUGCCCAUCACGGCGCGUGUGGCAGGCCCUAGUGCACGGCUCCCAGUGGCCGCGUCGUCGUCGCUCCUUACCCAACACCGCGGCGUCUUCGCCGAUAAGGUGCGCGCUGGUAUGGUGCUGCGCGUGGAUAAGAGGGUGUACCGUGUCGUGGCCAACACGCGUUCGCAGAAGGGUCAGAACGCCGCCUCCUUCAACAUCAAGCUCACGGAGGUGGGCACGAGUCGAAAGAAAGAGGUGACGGCUGGUCAAGGGCACGACUUUACGGAGGUGCGCGCGGAGCGCGUUCGCCUUCUCUUCAGCGGCUUCGACGAUGACGACCUCGCCUGCUUCGUCUUCCCGGCGCACAGCCCAGACGCGGGCAAGGAAGUGAAUAUCCCAGGGGACUCGCUACCAGAGGUACAGCAGAAGUUCUUGGCGUGUGCGAUGCCGGUGGACAUUCUGCACAUCAUCCCGGACGACGACGCCCCCGAGAAGGAGAUGUGGACAGAGAUCACGAUGCCGAGCAGCUACGUCUACACGGUGGAGAAGAUUGCACUGAAGGGGCUCUACAAGAUGGCGACCUUUGUGGAGUGCGACGGCACCGUCAGCGUGAAUGAUCAGAUUCAGCUAGGCGACAAGAUAAAGGUCGUGAUUAAGCCGGACGGCACCGUGUCAUUUGGCGGGCGCGCGAACGCAUAAAAAUGGCAUACGGGAGGAGGGGGAGGGGUGGGGGCGAAGGGGCCGUGGAGGCGGUGAAGACGACGGUGGAGAGCAGAAAACACAAAAAAAAAAACAGCGGCGCUCGACUGCGGAGGAGGGCUCGAGGGGGAGGUGACAGCGGUGGUGGUGGUGGUGAGCACCACUGGUCGUGGGCUAACGCGGCGUGCAGGAGUACGCCGCGUUUCUGCUAUAUUUCCCUCUGGCUUUGGGCCGUGCACUGCAUAUCUAUCCCCGCCUUCACGGAAAUGCUCCCGGCGCUGUGGCAGUGUGUUGUUGUGCCGGCGGCUGCGGUGACAUUCUGCGCGCAUGCGUAUGGCAGGGUAUCCACCUUCUUCUAUUGAAGAAACGUGGCAUGGCAGCCUGGCGUCGCAACGAGGCGUCGCAAGUGCCUCCGAGAGUACAGCGUCAGUGUUGCCGCGUCUGAUCACGGUCUUCUUC
rnacentral:misc_RNA from 1 species